CCAUGUCUGCUUUUACAUAACAUUAUACCUUCAAAAAUGCAUCUUGAGGAUGUUCAAUAAGUCAAUAUUAAAGAGUGAAUGGAUAUUAAAGGACUGAAUGGAUAUUAAGUUAGUGACGGUAUUGUUGAAUUGGGUUUUAGGUAUGGUAGAAAGGCUCAAGAUGAUUCUAUAAGUAGGUCUGAUUUCAAAGCCUGUCUCAUUUUCCAUUUGUACCUCAUAAGCUUGUUGUGGUAAUUACAUUAAAAAUGUAAGUAGAGCUUCCGACAUAGU
rnacentral:lncRNA from 1 species